rnacentral:rRNA from 1 species
UGGGGAAUUUUGGACAAUGGGCGCAAGCCUGAUCCAGCCAUGCCGCGUGUCUGAAGAAGGCCUUCGGGUUGUAAAGGACUUUUGUCAGGGAAGAAAAGGCUGUUGCUAAUAUCGACAGCUGAUGACGGUACCUGAAGAAUAAGCACCGGCUAACUACGUGCCAGCAGCCGCGGUAAUACGUAGGGUGCGAGCGUUAAUCGGAAUUACUGGGCGUAAAGCGAGCGCAGACGGUUACUUAAGCAGGAUGUGAAAUCCCCGGGCUCAACCUGGGAACUGCGUUCUGAACUGGGUGACUAGAGUGUGUCAGAGGGAGGUAGAAUUCCACGUGUAGCAGUGAAAUGCGUAGAGAUGUGGAGGAAUACCGAUGGCGAAGGCAGCCUCCUGGGAUAACACUGACGUUCAUGCUCGAAAGCGUGGGUAGCAAACAGGAUUAGAUACCCUGGUAGUCCACGCCCUAAACGAUGUCAAUUAGCUGUUGGGCAACUUGAUUGCUUAGUAGCGUACCUAACGCGUGAAAUUGACCGCCUGGGGAGUACGGUCGCAAGAUUA